UAGUGUUAUAGCAUUUUUAGAAUUUGUCUAGCAGGUUUUCUGGACCUCACCAGAAGACUCAA
rnacentral:snRNA from 1 species